rnacentral:tRNA from 1 species
AAAUAAUGAAGUAAAAUUACAUUUAGUUUCGACCUAAAAUUAGGUUAUUAUAACCCUUAUUUU